rnacentral:piRNA from 1 species
UGGAAACCAAGUAGAACUGUGAGUGA